ACGGAAGGCAGCAGUGGGGAAUAUUGCACAAUGGGCGAAAGCCUGAUGCAGCGACGCCGCGUGAGUGAAGAAGUAUUUCGGUAUGUAAAGCUCUAUCAGCAGGGAAGAAAAUGACGGUACCUGACUAAGAAGCCCCGGCUAACUACGUGCCAGCAGCCGCGGUAAUACGUAGGGGGCAAGCGUUAUCCGGAUUUACUGGGUGUAAAGGGAGCGCAGACGGCUGUGCAAGUCUGAAGUGAAAGCUCGGGGCUCAACUCCGGAACUGCUUUGGAAACUGUAUAGCUAGAGUGCAGGAGAGGCAAGUGGAAUUCCUAGUGUAGCGGUGAAAUGCGUAGAUAUUAGGAGGAACACCAGUGGCGAAGGCGGCUUGCUGGACUGUAACUGACGUUGAGGCUCGAAAGCGUGGGGAGCAAACAGGAUUAGAUACCCUGGUA
rnacentral:rRNA from 1 species